GCGAAGACAACAUGUUGGUCUCCGAGAAUUGAGUAUGGUUUCUCGCAGCUUUAGCUUUGAAUGUCCAAUAGACAGCGAGUUGUCCUUCGAUUACGUGAUUGCGCGUUACACGACACAACCAUUCGUGUUUUAUGCUUCUGUUUUUUUCAUGUUUCAUAUCCAAAACAGUGAUUUUCCUCGCCAGCAACUCCGAGAAUUCGUUGGUUCAACCUAACGGUAAAGACAAACGCAGAGAGAAUGGCUGCUUUAUUCCUUUGUUUUCGCCAUAGAAAGGUUUCAGCUUUUGGGAUUUCUCGCCUUCCAAAAGACAAUUUGGACCCCUGUCAGCUGCAUUUGAAAUUGAAGCUUGGAACUUUAGUUGGUGUUCUUAAUGUGUUGAGAGAAUAUAGCAGUGGCAGUACCACGAAGUUUGAUUUUACCGACUUGACUUGCCCUCAUACAUGGUACCCAAAUGCUCGGAGAAAGCAUCGCAAGGUUUUUCUGCAUGUGGGCCCCACAAAUAGCGGUAAAACGCAUCAUGCUUUGAAGAAACUAGAGUCAAGUUCUUCUGGCAUAUAUUGUGGUCCUUUGAGGUUGUUGGCAUGGGAGGUGGCAAAAAGGUUGAACAAGGCAAAAGUUCCAUGUGACCUAAUAACGGGACAGGAAAGAGAGGAAGUUGAUGGUGCAAAGCAUAAGGCCAUGACAGUUGAAAUGGCCGAUGUAAACUCCGAUUACAGUUGUGCUGUUGUUGAUGAAAUUCAGAUGUUGGGGUGUAAGACAAGGGGUUUCUCAUUUACACGUGCUCUUUUAGGAAUUUCUGCCGAUGAACUUCACCUUUGUGGAGAUCCAGCUGCUGUUCCUCUUAUUGAGGAAAUACUUAAGGUGACUGGUGAUGAUGUCAAGGUUGAAUACUAUGAGAGACUUUCACCAUUAGUUCCAUUAAAGAAACCUCUUGGAUCCUUUUGUAAUAUACAAACAGGUGAUUGCAUCGUAACAUUUUCACGUCGUGAGAUAUACCGAAUGAAGAAAAAAAUUGAAAGUGGAGGAAAACAUCUUUGUUCUGUAGUUUACGGUUCACUUCCACCAGAAACUAGAACAAGACAGGCAACCAUGUUCAAUGAUGCUAGCAAUGAAUUUGAUGUUCUUGUGGCUAGUGAUGCCAUCGGGAUGGGCCUUAACUUGAAUAUUUCUAGAAUCAUAUUUUCAACAAUGACAAAGUUUGAUGGUGUUGAGAUGCGGGAUCUAACAGUUCCAGAGGUUAAACAAAUCGCAGGGCGAGCUGGCCGGUAUGGUUCAAAAUUUCCAGUUGGAGAGGUGACUUGUCUGCAUGCAGAUGAUCUGCCCUUACUUCUUUCAUCACUGGAAUCCCCAUCUCCCAUUCUGGAGACUGCUGGAUUGUUUCCUACUUUUGAUCUCAUGUUUAUGUAUUCAAGGUUACACCCAAAAAGUGGCAUAUACCAAAUAUUGGAACAUUUUUUAGAGAAUGCCAAAUUAUCUCCAAAUUAUUUCAUUGCUGAUUGUGGGGAAGUGCUGAAAGUUGCUGCCAUCAUCGAUGAAAUGCCUCUUUCGCUGCAAGAUAAAUACCUUUUCUGUAUCAGCCCAGUUGACAUGAACGAUGAGAUCUCAUCUCAGGGACUUACACAGUUUGCCGAAAACUAUGCAAAGAAAGGCAUUGUUCGACUUAAAGAAAUAUUUACACCUGGGACACUUAUGGUGCCAAAAACACAAGCUAAACUUGAGGAGCUUGAAUCUAUUCACAAGGUCAGUUUGUUUGCUGCUCAAAUUCUCAGAGAGAGGUUUAGGUUUGUAUUCCAAAUUGAAAUGGUGGGAAGGCUUUCUUAUAUAUGAUGGUAAUAAUUGAGUUUUUAGCUUAUUCAGCAGUGGAAGAAAUCACACAAAGUUGGAAUUCAUAUAUGUUUUGACAUUAUGCUACCAGUGCAAGGCAUAUUGAGGCGAAGGAAGUUGGUAAAGAAUAAUGUUUGACGUUGAGCCUUGCUGCUGACAUACUAUCUCGUUAUAUUGACAGGAUGAAACAAAUCAAUUACCAUGUUGAAUAGGAUUAUGCAAUUUUUCAUGAACAAGCAACUAAACUAAAAUAUUAUCUUGAAUUAGGGUCAUAGAAAUGGAUAUGGAAGAGAACCAUUGAUGGGAAGAUCGGUUCAAUGAUUCUGGGAAAAGAGUUAUGGUCGGCAGAGUUUCUCUAUCUAGUUACAGUUACAGCUUAAUCCUCUUAUUCUAGCAGAAGUGUUUUCUUUGCUAAAAAUUGUCAUCUUUUUGGUUUUCUGCUGAUGCACACUGAUUGUGAUUUCCAUGGAUCAGCAGCAAAGACUCAUUUUGAAGAUAUCUUCAUGCAUGUGGAAUUAAUGAUUUUAUCAUAACAUUCUUAAAAUCCUGAGAGAAGCUAUCCUGGAAAUUUCGUUUUUGUUUUGUGUACAAAUGUGCUUUGUUAUUCUUCUGGAUAAGUUUUACAAUGAAAUGUACUUCAGUCCAUUUUCAAUUGUGUAACUGCAUAUAUUUGUUCAGUAGUUAUCCCUUUCUUGGUGCAAUUGCAGGUAUUGGAUCUCUAUGUUUGGUUGAGUUUCCGCUUGGAGGAUUCGUUUCCAGACCGUGAGCUGGCAGCAUCUCAAAAGGCUAUCUGCGGCCUGUUAAUUGAGGAGUUCCUCGAAAGACUGGGAUGGCAGAAGCCAACAGCAAGAAGGUUACGAUCACGCAAUGCAUCAAGUUCUUCAUUGUCCAAAGAUGUUAAGCGCAUUUUGUGAACUGCCCUCAUCAUGUACUACUACCAUUUUACUCGAUGGAAGAUGGAAAAUUAUAACUUAAAAUAAAUCAUUAUUAUAAGCUCAAUUCUCAAAGACUGAAACUGUUAUAUUGAUUUUUAGUAUAAACUAGAUAUUUGCCGUGCAAGAAUUUUAUUUACCAAUGUUUGUCAAA
rnacentral:misc_RNA from 1 species